rnacentral:rRNA from 1 species
GCCAGCAGCCAUAUCACCCUGCAACUCAAAACUGGCAACCCACUGAAGCUAAGCAGGUGUGAGCCUGGUCAGUCCUGGAUAAGAGACUUCCUGGGAAAAAAUAAGGUUGCUGUUGGAA